rnacentral:rRNA from 1 species
GAUGAACGCUGGCGGCGUGCCUAAUACAUGCAAGUCGAGCGAACGGACGAGAAGCUUGCUUCUCUGAUGUUAGCGGCGGACGGGUGAGUAACACGUGGAUAACCUACCUAUAAGACUGGGAUAACUUCGGGAAACCGGAGCUAAUACCGGAUAAUAUUUUGAACCGCAUGGUUCAAAAGUGAAAGACGGUCUUGCUGUCACUUAUAGAUGGAUCCGCGCUGCAUUAGCUAGUUGGUAAGGUAACGGCUUACCAAGGCAACGAUGCAUAGCCGACCUGAGAGGGUGAUCGGCCACACUGGAACUGAGACACGGUCCAGACUCCUACGGGAGGCAGCAGUAGGGAAUCAUCCGCAAUGGGCGAAAGCCUGACGGAGCAACGCCGCGUGAGUGAUGAAGGUCUUCGAAUCGUAAAACUCUGUUAUUAGGGAAGAACAUAUGUGUAAGUAACUGUGCACAUCUUGACGGUACCUAAUCAGAAAGCCACGGCUAACUACGUG